GAUGAACGCUAGCGAUAGGCUUAACACAUGCGAGUCGAGGGGCAGCGAGGGUAGCAAUACCUGUCGGCGACCGGCGCACGGGUGAGUAACGCGUAUGUAACCUGCCCGCAACAGGGGGAUAACCCGGCGAAAGUCGGACUAAUACCGCAUAAAACAGGGGUCCCGCAUGGGAAUAUUUGUUAAAGAUUUAUCGGUUGCGGAUGGGCAUGCGUACCAUUAGGUAGUUGGUGAGGUAACGGCUCACCAAGCCUUCGAUGGUUAGGGGUUCUGAGAGGAAGGUCCCCCACACUGGUACUGAGACACGGACCAGACUCCUACGGGAGGCAGCAGUGAGGAAUAUUGGUCAAUGGGCGAGAGCCUGAACCAGCCAAGUCGCGUGAAGGAUGACUGCCCUAUGGGUUGUAAACUUCUUUUACAAGGGAAUAAAAUGAGAUACGUGUAUUUUAUUGCAUGUACCUUGGGAAUAAGCAUCGGCUAACUCCGUG
rnacentral:rRNA from 1 species